UACAGAGGUCUCAAGCGUUGUUCGGAUUCAUUGGGCGUAAAGAGCUCGUAGGCGGCUUAGCAAGUCGGGUGUGAAAACUCCAGGCUCAACCUGGAGACGCCACCCGAUACUGCUAUGGCUAGAGUCCGGUAGGGGACCACGGAAUUCCUGGUGUAGCGGUGAAAUGCGCAGAUAUCAGGAGGAACACCGGUGGCGAAGGCGGUGGUCUGGGCCGGAACUGACGCUGAGGAGCGAAAGCGUGGGGAGCGAACAGG
rnacentral:rRNA from 1 species